rnacentral:rRNA from 1 species
AAUAACUCAGUGCUGCAGUUAACGCAAUAAGUUCUCCGCCUGGGAGGUAUGUCACGCAAGUAGUGAAACUACAAGGAAGUUAUACGGGGCCGGCCGGCCAACACGGUGGAGGUAGUAGUGGUUUAAGUUUACGUUAUGCACGCGAAGGACCUAACCUACGGACUGGUACAUAUGGUCAGCUUGGGGAGGCGAAGGCAACACCAGGGAUAGGGAUG